AUCGUACCCCAAACCGACACAGGUGGUCAGGUAGAGAAUACCAAGGCGCUUGAGAGAACUCGGGUGAAGGAACUAGGCAAAAUGGUGCCGUAACUUCGGGAGAAGGCACGCUGAUAUGUAGGUGAAGUGAUUUACUCAUGGAGCUGAAAUCAGUCGAAGAUACCAGCUGGCUGCAACUGUUUAUUAAAAACACAGCACUGUGCAAACACGAAAGUGGACGUAUACGGUGUGACGCCUGCCCGGUGCCGGAAGGUUAAUUGAUGGG
rnacentral:rRNA from 1 species